rnacentral:rRNA from 1 species
ACUCCUACGGGAGNCAGCAGUGAGNAAUAUUGGGCAAUGGAGGUAACUCUGACCCAUGCCAUGCCGGCGUGCAGNAACACUGCCCUAUGGGUUGUAAACUGCUUUUANACAGGAAGAAACNNUGGUAUGUAUACCAGCUUGACGGUACUGUAAGAAUAAGCACCGGCUAACUCC